rnacentral:tRNA from 1 species
CUGUGGCUUAGUUGGUUAAAGCAUCGGUCUAGCGAAUACGGGGUUCGUGGGUUCAAAUCCCACCAG